rnacentral:rRNA from 1 species
CAACCUGCCGUCUACUCUUGGCCAGCCUUCUGAAAGGAAGAUUAAUCCAGGAUGGCAUCAUGAGUUCACAUGUCCGCAUGAUUAAAGGUAUUUUCCGGUAGACGAUGGGGAUGCGUUCCAUUAGAUAGUAGGCGGGGUAACGGCCCACCUAGUCAACGAUGGAUAGGGGUUCUGAGAGGAAGGUCCCCUACAUUGGAACUGAGACACGGUCCAA